rnacentral:rRNA from 1 species
GAUGAACGCUGGCGGCGUGCUUAACACAUGCAAGUCGAACGGUGAAGCAGAGCUUGCUCUGUGGAUCCGUGGCGAACGGGUGAGUAACACCUGAGCAACUUGCCCCCGACUCUGGGAUAAGCGCUGGAAACGGCGUCUAAUACUGGAUAUGAGCUGCUACCGCAUGGUCAGCAGUUGGAAAGAUUUUUCGUUGUGGGAUAGGCUCACAGCCUAUCAGCUCGUUGGUGUGGUAAUGGCUCACCAAGGCGUCGACGGGUAGCCGGCCUGAGACGCUGACCGGCCACACUGGGACUGAGACACGGACCAGACUCCUACGGGAGGCAGCAGUGGGGAAUAUGGCACAAUGGGCGAAAGCGUGAUGCAGCAACGCCGCGUGAGGGAUGACGGCCUUCGGGUUGUAAACCUCUUUUAGCAUGGAAGAAGCGAAAGUGACGGUACCUGCAGAAAAAGCGCCGGCUAACUACGUG